GACGAACCGAGCGAACGUUGUUCGGAAUCACUGGGCUUAAAGGGAGCGUAGGCGGGCUAUCAAGUCUGGGGUGAAAUGCCGCGGCUCAACCGUGGAACUGCCUUAGAUACUGACGGCCUCGAGGAAGAUAGGGGCGUGCGGAACUGUAGGUGGAGCGGUGAAAUGCGUUGAUAUCUACAGGAACUCCGGUGGCGAAAGCGGCGUGCUGGAUCUUUUCUGACGCUGAGGCUCGAAAGCUAGGGGAGCAAACGGG
rnacentral:rRNA from 1 species